rnacentral:rRNA from 1 species
UACGUAGGGACCAAGCGUUGUUCGGAUUUACUGGGCGUAAAGGGCGCGUAGGCGGCAUGACAAGUCACUUGUGAAAUCUCCGGGCUUAACUCGGAACGGCCAAGUGAUACUGUCAAGCUAGAGUGCAGAAAGGGCAAUCGGAAUUCUUGGUGUAGCGGUGGAAUGCGUAGAUAUCAAGAGGAACACCUGAGGCGAAGGCGGGUUGCUAGGCUGACACUGACGCUGACAGCGCGAAAGCCAGGGGAGCAAACGGG